rnacentral:rRNA from 1 species
GAUGAACGCUGGCGGCGUGCCUAAUACAUGCAAGUCGAGCGAACGGACGAGGAGCUUGCUUCUCUGACGUUAGCGGCGGACGGGUGAGUAACACGUGGAUAACCUACCUAUAAGACUGGGAUAACUUCGGGAAACCGGAGCUAAUACCGGAUGAUAUUUUGAACCGCAUGGUUCAAUAGUGAAAGACGGUCUUGCUGUCACUUAUAGAUGGAUCCGCGCCGCAUUAGCUAGUUGGUAAGGUAACGGCUUACCAAGGCAACGAUGCAUAGCCGACCUGAGAGGGGGAUCCGCCCACCUGGGAAUUAGACACGGUCCAGACUCCUACCGGGGGCAGCAGGAGGGAAACCUUCGGCAUUGGGGAAAAGCUGGCGGAGCCAAGGCGGGGUGGGUGAUAAGGUCUUCGGGUCGGAAAACCUUUUUUAUAGGGAAGAAAAAAAGUGGAAGGUAAUGUGGACCGCCUGAAGGUAACUAAACCGAAAGGCCCGGCUAAAUUCGUGG